AGGAAUUGGCUUAAGGUCAGCAAC
rnacentral:piRNA from 1 species